rnacentral:rRNA from 1 species
GACGAACGCUGGCGGCGUGCCUAAUACAUGCAAGUCGAGCGAAGUUUUUCUGAUGCUUGCACUAGAAAAACUUAGCGGCGCACGGGUGAGUAACACGUAAAGAACCUGCCUCAUAGACUGGGACAACUAUUGGAAACGAUAGCUAAUACCGGAUAACAGUAUUUCUCGCAUGAGAGAUAUUUAAAAGUUGGUUAUGCUAACACUAUGAGAUGGCUUUGCGGUGCAUUAGCUAGUUGGUGGGGUAAAGGCCCACCAAGGCGACGAUGCAUAGCCGACCUGAGAGGGUGAUCGGCCACACUGGGACUGAGACACGGCCCAGACUCCUACGGGAGGCAGCAGUAGGGAAUCUUCCGCAAUGGGCGAAAGCCUGACGGAGCAACGCCGCGUGAGUGAAGAAGGAUUUCGGUUCGUAAAGCUCUGUUGUUAGGGAAGAAUGGAUAUGUAGUAACUAUACAUGUAAGAGACGGUACCUAACCAGAAAGCCACGGCUAACUACGUG